rnacentral:rRNA from 1 species
AUUGAACGCUGGCGGCAGGCCUAACACAUGCAAGUCGAGCGAGCGGCGGCCGGGUGAGUAAUGUAUGGGAAAAUGCCUGAUGGAGGGGGAUAACUACUGGAAACGGUAGCUAAUACCGCAUAUCCUCAGGUGUGCCCCGAUGGGAUUAGCUGGUUGGUGGGGUAAAGGCCCACCGAGGCGACGAUCCCUAGCUGGUCUGGGAGGAUGACCAGCCACACUGGAACUGAGACACGGUCCAGACUCCUACGGGAGGCAGCAGUGGGGAAUAUUGCACAAUGGGCGCAAGCCUGAUGCAGCCAUGCCGCGUGUGUGAAGAAGGCCUUCGGGUUGUAAAGCACUUUCAGCGGGGAGGCGUUACCCACAGAAGAAGCACCGGCUAACUCCGUGCCAGCAGCCGCGGUAAUUC